AAAAGUCUAGAAGUCUAACUGUUACAAUAUCUGACUGUAGAUUUUCUUCAUCGAUAUUCAACUCGUAAACCAUUUUGCAAUUAAGAUGUAGGCAAUGUUAAAUAAAACUCGUUUACAUCCAAACACCUGAUCGUUUAUAUCGAUUCGUGUUCUUCAACAAAAGUAAAAUCUUUAAUAUUUUCCAAAUUUUUUUUUAAUUAAACAAUCAGGGCCGAUCUAA